rnacentral:rRNA from 1 species
UACGUAGGGUGCAAGCGUUGUCCGGAAUUAUUGGGCGUAAAGAGCUCGUAGGCGGUCUGUCGCGUCUGCUGUGAAAACCUAGGGCUUAACUCUGGGCGUGCAGUGGGUACGGGCAGACUAGAGUGCGGUAGGGGAGACUGGAAUUCCUGGUGUAGCGGUGAAAUGCGCAGAUAUCAGGAGGAACACCGGUGGCGAAGGCGGGUCUCUGGGCCGUAACUGACGCUGAGGAGCGAAAGCAUGGGGAGCGAACAGG